rnacentral:snoRNA from 1 species
CAGCUCAUUAAGCCAACUGCGUUCCUUUCCUCAUGGGGUCUGGUGAGCAGUGGCUACAAACAGCAGCCUCCUUGGUUGUGUUCAUAAUCUGCUCCUUGUACAGGUUGCCCUAAGGGGCCUUGGAGACAGUU